GGGGAUCCUGGUUCCUAAAGAAGCUCAAGACCCCAUCCAGAGUCACGUCCACACGGGAACUGUCUCCCAUUAGUAGGGGUCCACUAGAAGCAAUUUUCAUAAGGUGGGCUCCGUCCAUGCCGGAGGCUCUGCAGGUGGUUGGGGCCUGGCUGGAUUUUCACAGGCUUGGAGUAUCAGGUCUGCCAGCGGCCAGCUUACAGGGGCAGCUAGAAGGGCCUUGAAGGCUACAAGAAAGUUUUUCCUGCCCCACAGAUGACAUCAUCUGCAGGAUAAACUCUAGCUGGACACUGCUGCAGCUGAGAAAUCCUGAGACAUCUGACACGCCCAUCAACCCCUAGUACUCUGCCUGUAGGGUCUAACAUAUGUGAGAAUGGUGAGAAAUCUUUAUUUGUAACUUGGAUUAGCAGGAGAAAAUAUUUGUGGAACUAGUUUCUUGAGCUUCGGGACUCUGGAAAAUUUGGCAGAAUACUCUUGGUUUGACCGUUUCAUUUCCUUCCAGAGAUGGUCACUGUUUACCUUUCUCUCUCUCUCUGGCAUUUGUCAUAAAAAGGAAUUACCAUAGGACAUAAUGCAAUCUUAAGCCUGCUGUUCAAGCGAGCCUCACAGACUGGUGAUUUCACAGUUCUCCUCAGACUGUCAUCUACUUGAACAAACUUUGCUAUAGGUCCCCUGUAUAAAAUCCAAAUAAAGUUUUGUUUGUCUUA